CUCUCCCCUCUGCCUUGCAGAUCCUCUGUGCUGGCUGCCAUGCCUACCCGAACCUGUGCCAGCACCUGGGAAGGAGCCAGCCACUGUGGGGUUCCCUCAUGCAGCUCUUGAAGGGUGAGGUCCCUGUGGUAGAGGUGACCCAGGAGGCAGCCUGUGAAGCCUCUCUGUACCUGCUGGCCCUGCUCACCCUGCAGCUUCAGGCAUCCCCUCCCAGGUGUGAGGAGAUGGUUGCCCUGGCUGUGGAUCUCAUCACCCAGUCUCCUGUUGUGUCCCUUGUGGUAAGCCACCCUCCCCUGCCAGAGCCACUACUGAGAGCCCUGCAGACCCUUGCAUCCCAUUUGGGCCUUACUGUUCCUCACUCAGGGUGGGAUGAGGCCAAGAGAUGAAGUGUCAAUAGUGACUGAGCAGAUGGAAAAGUCCCAAAGGUGCUGAACUCUCCUUGUCCCACAGGGUGCUGCAGCAUUUCUCCUGGCACAGCUCAGUCAGCAUGGGGUGGCUUUGGAGCUCAAGAGAGAAAAGAUCCUACCAGUGGUAGCAAAUGCGCUGACUGCACCUGCUGAGGUAUGGGAUGGGGAGACAGAAGCUGGGGACCCAUGCAUCCCCCACUGUAGAGGUGUGCAA
rnacentral:lncRNA from 1 species